rnacentral:SRP_RNA from 1 species
UGGUGGGCUAGGCCGGGGGGCUCGGCGUCCCCUGUAACCCGAAACCGUCGAUAUGCGGGGGCCGAAGCCGAGGGAAGGCCCGUUAAGCGGAAGUAGUAGCCCGGUCCGAUCCCGUAGAAUCCCCGUCCCGAAGGGUCGGCGGUUGCGGUUGGGCCAUCUGGAGGGAUGGCCCGCCGCAUUUACCGGGGGGACCGGCUCAGGCCCGGAAGGGAGCAGGCUCACCCCGGACGACCGGCGCUUUCGGGGGUUCGGGGAGGAGGGAUCGGAUUCGGGCUACCUUCCGUGAAGGCGGGUCGACCCGAGGCGUGCCCACCA